GGGAGAUGGAAGAUUUCUCUGCUCUCCCUCCCCGCUACUGAGAAGCAUAGGGUCUAAAAAGUACAUUAGGUUGUAGAUUUGUUUGAUGAAGAUCAUGAGCAGUC